UUCCCCUAGUAACUGCGAGUGUUUGGGUGGAAGCWMAAUUUAAAAUCCCGGCAGCCUUUGGUUGUCCGAGUUGUAAUCUAGAGAAGUGUUAUCCGCGCUGGACCGUGUACAAGUCUCCUGGAAUGGAGCGUCAUAMAGGGUGAGAAUCCCGUCUUUGACACGGACUGCCAGGGCUUUGUGAUGCGCUCUCAAAGAGUCGAGUUGUUUGGGAAUGCAGCUCAAAAUGGGUGGUAAAUUCCAUCUAAAGCUAAAUAUUGGCGAGAGACCGAUAGCGAACAAGUACCGUGAGGGAAAGAUGAAAAGAACUUUGGAAAGAGAGUUAAACAGUACGUGAAAUUGCUGAAAGGGAAACGCUUGAAGUCAGUCGCGUUGUUUGGGAAUCAACCUUGCUUUUGCUGGGCGUACUUUCCAGAUGACGGGCCAGCAUCAAUUUUGACCGUUGGAUAAAGAUUAGAGGAAUGUGGCAUCUUCGGAUGUGUUAUAGCCUCUAGUCGCAUACAACGGUUGGGAUUGAGGAACUCAGCACGCCGCAAGGCCGGGUACUUG
rnacentral:rRNA from 1 species